AUUGAACGCUGGCGGCAGGCCUAACACAUGCAAGUCGAACGAGUGGCGGACGGGUGAGUAAUGUCUGGGAAACUGCCUGAUGGAGGGGGAUAACUACUGGAAAAGGUCGGUAAUACCGCAUACCCUCGGAUGUGCCUAGAUGGGAUUGGCUAGUGGGGGGGGUAAAGGCUCACCUGGGCGACGAGCCCUAGCUGGUCUGAGAGGAAGACCAGCCAAACUGGAACUGGGAAACGGUCCAGACUCCGACGGGAGGCAGAAGUGGGGAAUAUUGCACAAUGGGGGCAAGCCUGAUGCAGCAAUGCCGCUGGUAUGAAGAAGGCCUUCGGGUUGUAAAGUACUUUCAGCGGGGAGGCGGUACCCGCAGAAGAAGCACCGGCUAACUCCGUGCCAGCAGCCGCGGUAAUAC
rnacentral:rRNA from 1 species